ACCUGGGUGGCUCAGUUGGUUAAGCGUCUGACUUCGGCUCAGGUCAUGAUCCCAGGUA
rnacentral:tRNA from 1 species